GCAGCCAUCAUUUAAAGAAAGCGUAAUAGCUCACUGAUCGAGUCGUCCUGCGCGGAAGAUGUACCGGGGCUAAGUCAAUAACCGAAGCUGCGGAUGCACAUUUAUGUGCGUGGUAGGGGAGCGUUCUGUACGCCUGCGAAGGUGUCUCGUAAGGGAUGCUGGAGGUAUCAGAAGUGCGAAUGCUGACAUGAGUAGCGUUAAAUAGAGUGAAAAGCUCUAUCGCCGAAAGCGCAAGGUUUCCUACGCAACGUUCAUCGGCGUAGGGUGAGUCGGCCCCUAAGGCGAGGGUGAAAACCGUAGCUGAUGGGAAGCAGGUUAAUAUUCCUGCACCAUUGUUCAAUGCGAUGGGGGGACGAAGAAGGUUAGCUCAGCCGGGUGUUGGAUGUCCUGGUUUAAGCAUGUAGCCGUGCCUGGUAGGCAAAUCCGCCGGGCUUAGGUGAGGUGUGAUGACGAGAGGGCUUGCCCUCGAAGUGAGUGAUACCCAGCUUCCAAGAAAAGCCUCUAAGCUUCAGUUGAACAAGACCGUACCGCAAACCGACACUGGUGCGCGUGCUGAAUAUGCUCAGGCGCUUGAGAGAACUCAGGAGAAGGAACUCGGCAAAUUGAUACCGUAACUUCGGGAGAAGGUAUGCCGCUAGUAGGUGAAGGAGUACAUCCGGAGCCAAACGCGGUCUCAGAGAAUCGGUGGCUGCGACUGUUUAUCAAAAACACAGCACUCUGCAAACACGAAAGUGGACGUAUAGGGUGUGACGCCUGCCCGGUGCCGGAAGGUUAAGUGAUGGGGUGCAAGCUCUUGAUCGAAGUCCCAGUAAACGGCGGCCGUAACAAUAACGGUCCUAAGGUAGCGAAAUUCCUUGUCGGGUA
rnacentral:rRNA from 1 species